rnacentral:lncRNA from 1 species
AAACCCCAUUUUGGGGUUGUCAGUGUCCUCACUUAGUCAUUGAUGUGACAUGCUUACCUCAUACUCAAUUUGAGUUUUGCAGAACUCCCACACAUUGUGUGCCCACAGGGAUUCUGUGCUUAUGGGGCAACAAGAAUGCUAUGUGUGAGUGGAACAAGUAAAGAAUGGCAGCAGCUAUGCAUGUUAUCUGUAUUUCCUCUGUUCAUGCACAUGCUCCAUUGUCCCAUCAGCCUUCAUUUACAAAACAAAAGUUCAAAGAUAAAAUUAUUAGGAAUUUCAUUACGGUGACAACAGAGCAUUAAAUGAAGUGCCAGGCCUCAAGCACCAAGCCCUUCCCAGCAUGGGUUGUAUGCAGCUGUCCAGAUCACAUGCCCAUGAAGCUGGCCAUGGGGAAAAAACUUGAUCCUUUAUUGUGGUAGAAGCAUAGGGCAUGUUGGAGAUGCAGUAGACAUGCUGGCAUGGCUGGUUAUAGCAAGGAGUACAUAACAUAGCUAACAUGUAUUAGACAUGUAUUAUGUUUUACGUACUGUCCUAAAUAUUUCAUACAUCUUUUAAAGUUUGCCAGAGGACCCUGUGAAACAGUAUUAUUAUGUACUUCAUUUUCCAGAUGUUAAAAAUUAGGAAGAUCAAAUAAUCUGCUCAAGCUCAGGCCUGGGUACUGGGUGACAGAGGGUAUACUCUUAACCAGCUCAUCAUGCUACCUGCAUGCAACACAAGGAGUUAUUGGAUAGGCACAUGAGGCUGGAAAAGGUAGAAGAUUCUGAGGCCCUGGGCGGGAACUAGUAAGCCACAAUCUGGAAGAGUCUUUUACCACCAUGUGGAGGAGAACUAGAGCACUCAUGUUGAACUAUUACCGAGAAAAGUAAUCAACUUCUUUUGUGUUAAGUCACUGAAAGGCAAGUGUUGAUUUGUUGCAGUAAUUGGUGCUCCCUUAACACACCUGUCAGCCGGGCCAAACUCUAUCACAGCAUAAAUAAUCUUUUCCUUAAAUAAAUACAGGUAAAAGAAUAAAGUAGACCUAAAUGCAUUAAUAUGAAUAUAGGCUCAAAGCAAAAUGUUGGGCUAUAAAUGUUCAGAGUGAUAAUUUUUUAAGUUGAUGUGUAAUUUAGUACAGUAAAAUAGAUAAAACCUAAAUGUUCAGUUCAAUGAAUUUUUACAUGUUCAUGCCCCUGUAUAAUCACCUCCCAGAACAACAUAGAAAAUACUUCAUAUAAAUGGAAUCAUACAGUGUGUUUUCUCUUGUGUCUGGUUUCUUUCACUCAAUGUUUUUGAGGUGAAUCCACAUUAUUGUGUGGAUUAGAAAGUUGUUCUCUUAAAAUUUCUGUUUGACAUUACGUUAUAUGAAUAUGCCACAAUUUGUUUAUUCAUUCUCCAAUUGAUGGACAUUUGGGUUGUUUCCAAUUUGGGACUAUGACAAAUGAAGCAGCUAUGAACAUUCUUGAACAAUUAUUUUUGUGGUACACGCACUCAUAUCUCCUGGGCAUAUGCAUAGGAGUGAAAUUGAUGGUCAUAUAUUUAUCUGAGUUAUUCUAUUAAAGCUCAAAAUGAUCAAUAUUCAAAA